rnacentral:rRNA from 1 species
GACGAACGCUGGCGGCGCGCUUAACACAUGCAAGUCGAGCGAAACGGCGGACGGGUGAGUAACCCGUGAGUAACCUGCCUACUACAUUGGGAUAGCCUCGGUAAACCGGGAUUAAUACCAAAUGGUCGAAGAUGGACUCGCGUCCCAUUAGCUAGUUGGUGGGUAACAGCCCACCAAGGCGACGAUGGGUAGCCGGCAUGAGAGGGUGAACGGGCACAUUGGAACUGGGAGACGGUCCAAACGCUGCGGAAGGCAGCAGUGGGGAAUAAUGCACAAUGGAUGGAACUCUAAUGCAGCGACGUCGCGUAAACGAAGAAGGAUUGCGAGUCGUAAAGUUCUUUUAUAUGGGAAGCGGUACCAUAAGAAAAAGCCCCGGCUAACUACGUGCCAGCAGCCGCGGUAAUUC